rnacentral:rRNA from 1 species
GAUCAUGGCUCAGAUUGAACGCUGGCGGCAUGCCUUACACAUGCAAGUCGAACGGCAGCACGGGAGCAAUCCUGGUGGCGAGUGGCGAACGGGUGAGUAAUGUAUCGGAACGUACCUUUCAGUGGGGGAUAACGUAGCGAAAGUUACGCUAAUACCGCAUAUUCUGUGAGCAGGAAAGCGGGGGAUCGCAAGACCUCGCGCGAUUGGAGUGGCCGAUGUCAGAUUAGGUAGUUGGUGGGGUAAAGGCUCACCAAGCCGACGAUCUGUAGCUGGUCUGAGAGGACGACCAGCCACACUGGAACUGAGACACGGUCCAGACUCCUACGGGAGGCAGCAGUGGGGAAUUUUGGACAAUGGGCGCAAGCCUGAUCCAGCAAUGCCGCGUGCAGGAAGAAGGCCUUCGGGUUGUAAACUGCUUUUGUACGGAGCGAAACGGUCCUGGUUAAUACCCGGGGCUAAUGACGGUACCGUAAGAAUAAGCACCGGCUAACUACGUG